rnacentral:rRNA from 1 species
GUGGGGAAUAUUGCACAAUGGGGGAAACCCUGAUGCAGCGACGCCGCGUGAGCGAUGAAGUAUUUCGGUAUGUAAAGCUCUAUCAGCAGGGAAGAAAGUGACGGUACCUGACUAAGAAGCCCCGGCUAACUACGUGCCAGCAGCCGCGGUAAUACGUAGGGGGCAAGCGUUAUCCGGAUUUACUGGGUGUAAAGGGAGCGUAGACGGGAGAGCAAGUCUGAAGUGAAAGCCCAGGGCUCAACCCUGGGACUGCUUUGGAAACUGUUGACCUAGAGUGCUGGAGAGGUAAGUGGAAUUCCUAGUGUAGCGGUGAAAUGCGUAGAUAUUAGGAGGAACACCAGUGGCGAAGGCGGCUUACUGGACAGUGACUGACGUUGAGGCUCGAAAGCGUGGGGAGCAAACAGGAUUAGAAACCCCGGUAGUCC